CACCAUGUUCCUAAUUACAAAUUGUCAUGCAUGCUCUAGGAAAGCUCGACAGCAGCCAAGGACUGAAGGAUCUUGAAGGAGAUGGCAUCAGCACCCGUGGACAACAGAAUUAUCAUAUAGGACUAUUGUUUGCGAGCUUUACAGUUGUGGCAGCUGCUGCGAUGGUUAUAUAUCUGUGCAGGAAGCAACAAACUACAGCCCUACACCAGCCAGACUCCCAGAGGCCAGAAUAAUCUUCCAACAGUCUUGCAAAUGAAUGUGUACCAACCACACUACUAUAUGUUAUAGCAAUGCUAAAAACCUGCAUUGUUAUAAAAAUGAUCUGUUUCACUUUCAUAUAUCUUGUUGGUGUAUGGUACAGAAAAAUGACACACUGUUGUUGAAAACUGAGUAGUGGGCCAACUUUAGGUCAGAAAGUGAAAGGGUUUUUGAAGGGUGUUGGAUGUUUAAAUAAGUGCCUUGAUCUCUUGAGCCCCUUUAACACAUGCACUGGACGCCGGAACGUAUCCGGCCCUUAGCCGGAGGAGAUGUAUGUGAGAAUGCAAAUGUUCGAAUCAGUCGGACCAGACAUGUGACAGACUUCGUUCUGCCUGCUCCCUAGUACAAAGUCUGCCUCAUGUCGGAGUGAGCCCAUGUGUGAAUAGAACAGGCAACGUUCCUGAGAAUCCAUCGCGAG